rnacentral:rRNA from 1 species
CUGGCUCAGGAUGAACGCUAGCUACAGGCUAACACAUGCAAGUCGAGGGGCAGCAUAACGAAAGCUUGCUUUGUUGAUGGCGACCGGCGCACGGGUGAGUAACGCGUAUCCAACCUUCCCUAUACUAGAGGAUAGCCCGGCGAAAGUCGGAUUAAUACUCUAUGUUCUUCGUAGAAGACAUCUGAAAUGAAGCAAAGGUUUACCGGUAUAGGAUGGGGAUGCGUCUGAUUAGGUUGUUGGCGGGGUAACGGCCCACCAAGCCCACGAUCAGUAGGGGUUCUGAGAGGAAGGUCCCCCACAUUGGAACUGAGACACGGUCCAAACUCCUACGGGAGGCAGCAGUGAGGAAUAUUGGUCAAUGGACGAGAGUCUGAACCAGCCAAGUAGCGUGCAAGGAUGACGGCCCUAUGGGUUGUAAACUGCUUUUAUACAGGGAUAAAGUGCACUACGUGUAGUGUUUUGUAGGUACUGUAUGAAUAAGGACCGGCUAAUUCCGUGCCAGCCGCUGC